AUGAUGAUAUCAGACUGUGCUAUUCAAGUUAAUUUUAUAACAAGAGAAGCCAUCAUAGUGUGUAACUUCCUUUACUGUCAUGUUUUAAUAAUUCACACUGGUAGUUUUAGUUGUUGGCUUCUUGCUAUUUCUAUAUUAAUUGUUAGAAGAAUCCAGAAAUGGUAUCAAAUGCUAGCAUAUCUUGACAUUGUUAUUUUGAUCGAUUUGGGAUUCACAUAUUUCUAUAUAUUGUUUAAAUACAAUGCUCGAGGAUUUGCUAAGUGUAACCUUUUCAGUUCUACAAUGCUCAUAGUAGGUUUUGCCUUUAUGCAAGUUAAACUGUUCCAACUUCUUACUAGAAGUGGGCCUGUAUGUCAUCAUUGA
rnacentral:rRNA from 1 species